rnacentral:lncRNA from 1 species
AUGUCUGGAAGGCUGUGGUGCAAGGCCAUUUUUGCUGGCUACAAGCAAGGUAUCGGGAACCAAAGAGAGCACAUGGCUCUUCUUAAAAUUGAAGGCGUUGAUGCCCGAGAUGAAACAGAGUUCUACUUAGGCAAGAGAUGUGCUUAUGUGUAUAAAGCAAAAAGCAAUACAGUGACUCCUGGAGGCAAACCAAACAAAACCAGAGCAAUCUGGGGAAAA